ensembl:lncRNA
UGCCAGAAUGCAUUAGUUCAAGCACCUGGUUUGGAUUCUGCUGGGGGGUAUAAUCCCUCAGUCUAUAAUGUAGUAGUACUUCAAGCAUCCACUUGAGACUGAUUGCUGGUCUUUUACAAAGGAAUACUGAUAGGAAUGACUACCCUAAAGAGAGUAUUCAUAAACAUUCAUUAAAUACUGUCCUGAGAUGUGCUGUCUGGGCAAAAUUUUCCUACCACCUUUCCUCACCUACUUCUGAUUCUGAUGUGUACUGUAAAGCAUGUGAAACUCCACUGUGGCACAGUGAACAGGCAAACGAGCUUUUCUAAGCUAAGUAAAAUGCAGGAGGAUGUCUGGAAGAGAGAUUAAAAAUAAUCUCAAGCACAGAGCUCAUGCAUGAUGCAUAACAAGGUUCACACAGCAAUGACAUAGAUUUUCAGCAUCCUCACAGAGAUGAAAUCCUUCAGCCAGUUUAAGGGAUUUUGCUUUGAAUCUUCAUUUCUAAUCUCCUCAACAAGAUAACAAUCACAAAAUAAUUUUUGCAAGAGGAGAGAGCAAGGGAAUAUGACAAGAUGCUCUACUGUUAUCAUGUUUAUAAGGAAACCUUAAGGGACCGUAUUCCUUUCAAAUGCUUUUGAAGCCAAUCUUGUAGAAAAUGUCAUUUGUUUUACAUAGGCUUUGCAGUGUAAAGCAGAAUAACUGUCUGCCUAUAAAGACAGCAUUAACUAAAUUGAUUAUAUUCACCAUCUUUCUCUCAUAAUCAGAUUUUGAGCAUGAGGUUUGUUCUGGAUUUUGCUUUUAAGUCUGCAUGUAUAUUAUAUAUAUUAUGUUAAGAAUACUGAGUACUCAGAAUACUGGUAGCUCUGGGUUACUGUAUGCAGUGAAGAUAAGGAUGGAGACCAUGAAACUAAUUUGAUAGCUUUAUGCAAGCAGUAUACUGAGUCGGGAACAUGCUGUAGCAUUUUCACUGUGGCCAGCACUCCUGAGGUGCUGUGCCUCUGUGCUCUGGGCAGGAUAAAAAUCUCUGGGUUGGGAAAGUUUCCUCCCUGGUUGUACUUCUUUAUUCUAACAUAGAUGGUGAAAAUGUAUGAAAUAAUAAGACUUUGUUUGAUAAGAUUAAACAAUUUCUUCUAGACAGCUAGUGAUAGUAAAAACUGUUCCUCAUGGAUAUCAGUAGGUGAGUUAACACAGAGAUUAUUUCACAGUGUUUUCUUACCAAAAAUCACAUGGUCACAAUCUUUCAGUUGAAUAGAUUCAAACUUCGAGCUACAUGAAAGGAGAUGGAUAGGAUGUGAGAAGAGUAUGGGACUAUAUGGGAGCUACAAAGGAAAUGCUCUGCAGAUCUUCACCAAGUGAUGCACCUGUUUUAGCGUACUUGAUUUGUUCAGCUUUUUGCUUCCUAUUCAGUUGGGAACCAUAUACUCAGGCCUGAGUAACAUUACGGUGUGAGAGCAGAAAUUGGAAGGAGUCAUCAAGAUCAAGAUACAGUCAAAACAGGAAUGACUUACUCUACUUUCCAGUGCUGCAAAGGCUAUUGCACCCAUCUUUCAUCCAGCAUUUUCAUUACUUCAGGCCAGACAUCAUUUGACAGUUGUGAAAACAAGCGUGUUAUCUUUUUGUCUGAACCUGUCUUCCCUACUCACACGUCUGUUCUACUGCCUGCCUCUUUCAUAUCAGUCCUGAUCUAAAUGAGCUCAAAUCUCCAAUUAAGAUAUCUUCAUCUAUCCAAGGUGUCUCUGGGACAGUCUCUGUUUUUGUUUGCCAAGACAUGCAAACAUGUCUCUGUCCAACCUAUACUAAAAUGUAUAGUAAACUCUUAAAAAGUU